rnacentral:ncRNA from 1 species
UAUAAAAUUAUUUCUGGUUUUUUAUUUAUUGUAUGUUUAAAAUUAUAUAUGAAUUUUAAUGUAAAUAAAUUUUAAUUUUAAAUAAAUUAAAUUAUUUUUAAUUGUAAUAAUUAAUUUUAAUAUUAAAUUUUAAGAAAUUUAAUUUUAGAAAUAUAAAGUUAGUUUUAAUUAAAAUUGUGCCAGCAAUAGCGGUUAAACAAUUAAUAUAAAUAAAUAUUAAAUUUAAAUUUUAAAUAAAUUAAAUUUAUUUUAUAAUUAAUAAUUUAAUUAAUUAGGUAAAAUUGAAUAAUUAAAAUAUAUUAAAAAUAUUAAUAAUAUUUAAACAAAUUUUUAAUAAAACUAGGAUUAGAUACCCUAUUAUUAAAAUUAAUAAUUUAUAUAAUUAAAUUAGUAAAAUUAAAAUUUGAAAAUUAAAGAAUUUGACGGUAUUUAAAUCAAUUUAGAGGAAUUUGUUUAGUAAUUGAUAAUCCACAAUAAAUUUUACUUAUAUUAAAAUUUGUAUAUCGUUGUUAUAAAAAUAUUUAUAAAUAAUUUAUAAUAUUUAAAAAUUUAAAUUUAAAUUAAUAUCAAAUCAAGAUACAGUUUAUUGAUAAGAAUAAAAAUGAAUUACAAUAAAAGGUUUAUUUAUAAUAAUUUAAUUUAAAAUUAAUUUAUUAAAUUGGAUUUAAAUGUAAUUAAUAAAAUUUAUUAUUAAUGAUUAUUGUUUUUAAAUAAGUACAUAUUGCCCGUCACUCUUAUUAGUAUAUUUAUAUAAUUAAGAUAAGUCGUAACAUAGUAGAAGUAUUGGAAAAUGUUUCUAGAAAUAUAUAUAUAU